rnacentral:misc_RNA from 1 species
GAUGAAGAACGCAGCGAAAUGCGACAAGUAAUGCGAAUUGCAGAAUUCAGUGAAUCAUCGAAUCUUUGAACGCACAUUGCGCCCGCCAGUAUUCUGGCGGGCAUGCCUGUCUGAGCGUCGUUUCGACCCUCGCGCCCGGCUUCUGUCGGGGGCGGUGUUGGGGAUCGGCCACACCCUUCAGUGGGAGGCCGGCCCCUAAAUUCAGUGGCGACCACGCUGUAGCCUCCCCUGCGUAGUACUAAAACCACCUCGCAGGCGGAGAGCGGUGCGGCCCGCCGUAAAACCCCCCAACUUUUACAAGGUCGACCUCAGAUCAGGUAGGAAUACCCGCUGAACUUAAGCAUAUCAAUAAGCGGAGGA